rnacentral:rRNA from 1 species
GACGUAGGGGGCGAGCGUUGUCCGGAUUUACUGGGCGUAAAGCGCAUGUAGGCGGCCUGUUAAGUGGCGUGUGAAAGCCCACGGCUCAACCGUGGGAGGCCGCGCCAUACUGACGGGCUUGAGGGUGGCAGAGGAUGAUGGAAUUCCCGGUGUAGCGGUGAAAUGCGUAGAUAUCGGGAGGAACGCCAGUGGCGAAGGCGGUCAUCUGGGCCACCCCUGACGUUGAGAUGCGAAAGCUGGGGGAGCGAACGGG